UUGGAGGGCAAGUCUGGUGCCAGCAGCCCCGGUAAUUCCAGCUCCAACAGCGUAUAUUAAAGUUGUUGCAGUUAAAAAGCUCGUAGUUGAAUUUCGGGAUCAAUUUAUUGGUCGUGCCAACGGUACGCACUGGUACAAUUGGUUUCUCCCUUCUGACGAAGCAUGAUGUCAUUAAUUUGAUGUCGUGGGGAAUCAGGACUGUUACUUUGAAAAAAUUAGAGUGUUUAAAGCAGGCUUUGGCUUGAAUACAUUAGCAUGGAAUAAUGAAAUAGGACGUUUGAUCUUAUUUCGUUGGUUUCUAAGAUCGACGUAAUGAUUAAUAGGGAUAGUUGGGGGCAUUAGUAUUCAAUUGUCAGAGGUGAAAUUCUUGGAUUUAUUGAAGACUAACUACUGCGAAAGCAUUUGCCAAGGAUGUUUUCAUUAAUCAAGAACGAAAGUUAGGGGAUCGAAGACGAUCAGAUACCGUCGUAGUCUUAACCAUAAACUAUGCCGACUAGGGAUCGGAUGAUGUUAAUUUUUUAAUGACUCAUUCGGCGCCUUACGGGAAAC
rnacentral:rRNA from 1 species